rnacentral:rRNA from 1 species
CCUUAGUAGCGGCGAGUGAAGCGGCAAGAGCUCAAAUUUGAAAUCUGGUACUUUCAGUAUCCGAGUUGUAAUUUGAAGAAAGUAAUCUUGGAGUUGGCCCUUGUCUAUGUUCCUUGGAACAGGACGUCACAGAGGGUGAGAAUCCCGUGCGAUGGGGUGCCCAUUCUAUGUAAGAUACUUUCGACGAGUCGAGUUGUUUGGGAAUGCAGCUCUAAGUGGGUGGUAAAUUCCAUCUAAAGCUAAAUAUUGGCGAGAGACCGAUAGCGAACAAGUACAGUGAUGGAAAGAUGAAAAGAACUUUGAAAAGAGAGUGAAAAAGUACGUGAAAUUGUUGAAAGGGAAGGGUAUUUGAUCAGACUGAUAUUCAGUUAACACUGUUCCUUGUGGAUGGUGCUCUAGCUUUUUAUUGGGCCAGCAUCAGUUUAGGUGGCAGGAUAAGAACUGUUGAACGUGGCUCUUCGGAGU